rnacentral:rRNA from 1 species
GCCAGACUCCGACGGGAGGCAGCAGUGGGGAAUAUUGGACAAUGGGGGGAACCCUGAUCCAGCGACGCCGCGUGAGUGAAGAAGUAUUUCGGUAUGUAAAGCUCUAUCAGCAGGGAAGAAAGAAAUGACGGUACCUGACUAAGAAGCCCCGGCUAACUACGUGCCAGCAGCCGCGGUAAUACGUAGGGGGCGAGCGUUAUCCGGAUUCACUGGGUGUAAAGGGAGCGUAGACGGCCAUGCAAGCCAGGGGUGAAAGCCCGGGGCCCAACCCCGGGACUGCCCUUGGAACUGCAUGGCUGGAGUGCGGGAGGGGCAGGCGGAAUUCCUGGUGUAGCGGUGAAAUGCGUAGAUAUCAGGAGGAACACCGGCGGCGAAGGCGGCCUGCUGGACCGCGACUGACGUUGAGGCUCGAAAGCGUGGGGAGCAAACAGGAUUAGAUACCCCAGUA